AUUCAUUUCCAUUUCCCUCCCCACCCUCCUCCAUUUUCACGUAACUGUAGUCUUCGUUCUUUUUUCCUCUUUUCUCUUUCCAUAUACAUGACUAUUAUCUCCCAUUCCUUUCUUCUCCAGUUCUUGCUUCCUUCCUUAUCAUUUCCUCUGCCUUCUCUCUUCCUUUUCUUUUCUAUUUUCCUCCAUCUUUACGAAACUAUUUAGUCUGUGUGAAUUUCUUCCUCUCCUCUCACAUUAUUCUUUACUCCUCUCUCAUUCCUGUUCAUGUCUUCCUUUCUCUCUUUUGUCUCUCUCCUUUUCUUUUUUUUUCCAAUCCUCUCGUUUCCUCCUCCAUGUUCACGAAACUGUUUGGUCUUUUAUUUCUUCGAUCCUUUCUCAAACAUGUGUCUUUUAUCCACUUCCUCUCUUCUUUUUUCCCUUACUUUCUCUUCCCUCUUCCUGAGUCUUCGUGUUUUUCUUCCUUUCCUCUCCCAUACAUGAUUAUUUCCUCUCUCAUCCCCCCCUCAUCUCUACCAUUCCCCCUUUUGAUUCCUCGUUACCAUUCCCAUACGCUUUUCCACCUUCAUCUCCACCUCCACAUUCAUCUUCCACUUUCAUAUCGUGCACCUCCAUCCUUCAAAUCUCUAAUCUUGCACCUCUGCUUCCUUGCUCCAACUAGUCCACCUUUCUCCUGCCUCAUCUUUGUCUCCUUCUAGCCUCCCCUAAAGAAUUUCUCUCCCAUAUCAAGGUAGAGAGAGUGAGCUACUAAGUUAACGAGGGAUUGAUGAGAUGAUACACGUGAUUUAUAUUGUAGGUGAUGAGCUGAAGGAGCAAAGGCCUGGGAAGCUGAGGCACUGAUUGGUUAGGAAGCAUAUAAAUUACUCUCAGGAUAAGAAUAAAGAGCUUGACGUACUGAUAGAAUUAUGAGUUACUGAGGAAGCGAUGGCCUGAUGGACUAAAGGAGAGAAGGGCUAGUUGAUGAGUGAAUGAGGAGUAUAAAAGAGAAAUAGGGAGUAAAGGGAAUGUAAACUGAAGGGUGGGAAGGAUCGACAGGGUAAUGUAGUGAGGGACUGACGAGCUAAACGACUGAGUAAAAAGAUGAGGUGCUGAGUGACUGGUGAACGCACACACAAAGAGGACUGAGAGUGAAUGAAGGAAGAGCUGAGAGUGAAUGACUAAAGAACCCUAAGAGGAAGGAGCCGAGAGACUGAGAGGAAGGAAGGACCGAGCUGUUGAGUUGCCGGGAUACCUAAUGAUGGAAGGACUGAGAGACUUGGAGGGUUAAAGAGCCAAGCUAGUGAGAGUAUAAUGAGCGUGUGAAUAAGAUGAUGGAAGAGCCAAUGAAUGAACGACAGAGAAACAAUGGAACGAAAGAGAUGAGAGACUGAAAGAGAGGAAAGAGUGAGCUGCUCUGCCGAUGAAAGAUUGAGAGGAUGAGAGACCUGAAGAGUUAAAGACCUAAACUAGUGAGAGUGUAAUGAGUGUAUGAAUAAAAAUGAAGAGAGAACAAAUGGAUGAAGAACUAAAUAGAUAAUUGACAUAAAAAAAUAUAAGCAAAAAAGGGAGACUGAGGGGACAGGAAGAAAUGAGUUGCUAUACCAAAGAAACUAAAUGUUGUAUAUUGAAGUCAUUUUACAUUGAUACACUUUAAAACGAGAAAAUUGAG
rnacentral:lncRNA from 1 species